AUAAAAUUGAACUUGAUGAAUUUCAAGAGGUGGAAGGACCGACACACACAGAAUUGAAUUUGAUUGGAGAAUCGAAUUCAGAGCUAAUAGAGGCACCAUUGAGAAAAUCUGAUAGAGUACUGUGUCAGCCAGGUAGAUAUUAUAAUUUUUUAAUCUGGGACAGAGACCCUAUUGAGCUUGAUGAGAAUGAUGAGGAUCUGAUCACCUAUA
rnacentral:lncRNA from 1 species